rnacentral:rRNA from 1 species
UCCUUCGGGACUGGGGAAAGCGGCGAACGGGUGAGUAACACGUGGGUAAUCUGCCCUCGGCACUGGGAUAGCCCGGGGAAACCCGGAUUAAUACCGGAUAGCCUUUCGAGUCUUCGGACUCGUCAGAAAAGGUGGCUUCGGCUACUGGCUGAGGAGGAGCCCGCGGCGGAUUAGCUUGUUGGUGAGGUAACGGCCCACCAAGGCGACGAUCCGUAGCUGGUCUGAGAGGACGAUCAGCCACACUGGGACUGAGACACGGCCCAGACUCCUACGGGAGGCAGCAGUGGGGAAUCUUGCGCAAUGGGCGAAAGCCUGACGCAGCGACGCCGCGUGCGGGAAGAAGGCCUUCGGGUUGUAAACCGCUUUCAGGAGGGACGAAGCCACUCGGGUUAAUACCCCAGAGGGUGACGGUACCUCCAGAAGAAGCCCCGGCUAACUACGUGCCAGCAGCCGCGGUAAUACGUAGGGGGCAAGCGUUG